AGUUCAACAAGAGAUGAUCAAAGAGUGAGAGACAUUUUCAGUCUCAUAAUUGUUUCCCCAAACAAUAUAAUUUCUAGUAUGCACAAGACACUCAUGUAAACGUAGUAACACAAACCCCAAAAUAUAUAAUCGGAGUAACUCUUGCUCCAAAUGGAAAGCUGCUGCUGACCUACAUUCUUGAACCAGAACGGUUUGAAGUUUUUUUUUAUAACUAUCUUAAUACAAGUGAUACCCUAGUAUAACAAAAGGUAAUAGUCACACAUUACGUUGACCUAAUGAAAGCAUUUAGGAGAUCAAAUACUUGGCUAAGAAUACAGCAAACUGGGAUAUUAGCGAACGUUUUCAAUACAGCAAGGGUCUAAACCACGAUGUUUUAAAUUAAUAUAUUUAUACGGUCUGUUAAAGGUAAGCACGUUUUCAAAUAUCAAAAUGGAUAAAUAGGAGAUUCAAUCAUAAUGGUAGAGAAAAGCGCAGCAUAUCAAGAAAGAUGUUGUCACGAGUAGCAACUCGGCUACAAGAUUGGAACUAAGAGGCUAUAAAAUUGAGGCCCUCAGCACAAUGAAAUCAGUCUGCUAUAAAAGGCAACACAUGCCAGUUUUUCCUCCCCAAUGGCAGAUGCCACACCCUAAAGCAGACAGAAGGCACUGCAGUCUGUGCAAGGGAAGCACAACACAAAGCAACAACGAUGGUUCAAUUUUUUAGAGCGCAAAUAAUGUUGAAAUUCCUUUUGCCAUCUUUGCUCAGAUGAUGAGUGGUAGUGUUUGUUAAAUUCAAAUGCUCCUUUCCAAAAGCUCUCAUUGUAUGCAUGAAUUAUGAAUUUAUUAUAAUAUAAUGUAAAAAAGCUCUAAUUGCCAUGCAUAUUAUCUGCUGCAAAGUGAUUGCAUUGAUAUUUGAUAUCGCAAGUGCGCAGUUUCAACUUUAGUUCUAUUUUCAUUGUUCCUUCAAUUUAAUUAUUUUCUAUAAACCAAUGUUGUCCAAGUGUAGUUUCUUUCUUUUGAUUUUUCCUGAUAAAUUAUAAACUGUGGUGCUCUAGGAUCCCUCAUCAAAAUAAACAACAUAAUUUUCUAAA